CCUGAUAGCUCAGUUGGUAAAGAAUCUGCUUGCAAUGCAGGAGACCCUGGUUUAAUCCCUGGGUCAGGA
rnacentral:tRNA from 1 species